AACGAACGUUGGCGGCGUGGAUUAGGCAUGCAAGUCGAGGGAAUCCCAGCAAUGGGGGAACCGGCGUAAGGGGCAGUAAGGCGUGGGUACCUACCCUGGGGUUCGGGAUAGCCGUCUGAGAAGGCGGGUAAUACCGGAUGACCUCGGGAGAGCAAAGAUUCAUCGCCCUGGGAGGGGCCCACGUGAUAUUAGCUAGUUGGUGAGGUAACGGCUCACCAAGGCGAAGAUGUCUAGCGGGUGUGAGAGCACGACCCGCGCCACUGGCACUGAGACACUGGCCGGACACCUGCGGGUGGCUGCAGUCGAGGAUCUUCGGCAAUGGGCGAAAGCCUGACCGAGCGACGCCGCGUGUGCGACGAAGGCCAUCGGGUUGUAAAGCACUGUCGAGGGGGAGAAAAGCCCGCAAGGGUGUGAUCUAUCCCUGGAGGAAGCUCGGGCUAAGUUCGUGCCAGCCGCCGCCGUAACAC
rnacentral:rRNA from 1 species